rfam:Arabis alpina cultivar Pajares chromosome 8, whole genome shotgun sequence.
AACCCGUGGUGAGGACAAUCUCUCUGAUAUCCCUUGAAACGUUCCCAUGAAACCUUGAACGCUUUGGUUGGGCCCUGACAAAAUGUUGAGAUCUUAGCUCGCAGAU